UAACCUAUCCAGCCCUGCUGGGUCCUGGGCUCGCCGGCCGGCGGGCCCCAAAGCCAGUGGCGGCGCCGCCUGGUGCUGGAGCGUAGUACAACCCCUCGCUACCGGCCCUCAGCGCGCGCCCGCCAGCGACCCCUUCUAU
rnacentral:misc_RNA from 1 species